AUGGGCGCAAGCCUGAUCCAGCCAUACCGCGUGGGUGAAGAAGGCCUUCGGGUUGUAAAGCCCUUUUGUUGGGAAAGAAAUCCAGCUGGCUAAUACCCGGUUGGGAUGACGGUACCCAAAGAAUAAGCACCGGCUAACUUCGUGCCAGCAGCCGCGGUAAUACGAAGGGUGCAAGCGUUACUCGGAAUUACUGGGCGUAAAGCGUGCGUAGGUGGUCGUUUAAGUCCGUUGUGAAAGCCCCUGGGCUCAACCUGGGAACUGCAGUGGAUACUGGGCGACUAGAGUGUGGUAGAGGGUAGCGGAAUUCCUGGUGUAGCAGUGAAAUGCGUAGAGAUCAGGANGAACAUCCAUGGCGAAGGCAGCUACCUGGACCAACACUGACACUGAGGCACGANAGCGUGGGGAGCAAACAGGAUUAGAUACCCUGGUAGUCCACGCNCUAAACGAUGCGAACUGGAUGUNGGGUGCAAUCUGGCACGCAGUAUCGAAGCUAACGCGUUAAGUUCGCCGCCUGGGGAGUACGGUCGCAAGACUGAAACUC
rnacentral:rRNA from 1 species